GCAGCUCACCCGAACAAAGUCUUAGCUAUUGAUUUCACAACACUGGAACCCUCUGCUUCAGGGGUGGAGCAUGUGCUGGUAAUGACCGUCGUGUUUACUAAGUACACUGUGCCAUCCCCACAAGGGAUCAGCGGGCUAAUACUGUAGCCCAAGUUCUAGUGUUAGAAUGGUUUUAUAGGUUUGGGGUGCCGGCCCGGAUCCAUUCGGACCAGGGUCGGAGUUUUGAGUCUUUACUCCUUCAUCAGCUCUGUGACCUCUAUGGGGUCCGGAAGUCCCGCACCACCCCUUAUCACCCAGAGGGUAAUGGCCAGUGCGAGCGGUUCAACCACACUUUGCAUGGCCUCCUGCGCACUCUGCCUGUGACUAAGAAACGGGAUUGGGUGUCCUGUCUUCCUCAGCUGUUAUUCUGUUAUAACACCACCCCCCAUCAAGCCACAGGGGAGAGUCCUCACUUCCUUAUGUUUGGGCAAGAGCCGCGCCUCCCGAUCGACUUCCUACUGGGUCGGGUGCAGGAACCAGGGGUUGGAAGAGUGCAUGAUUGGAUCCUUCAACACCAGUCCCGUCUCCAGGUAGGCUUUGAGGGAGCCCAGGAGCGAUUGCGGAUAGCUGCUGAUCGCUGGAAGGCCCACCAUGAACAAUAUGUCCAUGGCACACCACUGGUGCAGGGUCAACAGGUGUCGCAAUGUGAGUGUGAGAGGGAGACAUAAAAUCCAGGACCUGUGGAGCCCAGUAGUGUACCAGGUGGUUAGGGCACCGGCAGCAGGGGGUGCAGUGUACACUAUAGCCCCCAUAGAGGACCCAUCGCAGCAGAGGCAAGUUCACCGCACUCUCUUGAAGGCAAGGGUGGAAAGGGGCCACCCUGAACUAAGCCCAUGUACCAGGAGAUCAUUGAUGGCUACACCCUCCUCACCUCCCCAUGAGGUUUGCGAGGGUGAUUUGUUUGUGCUGGUCCCAGAACAGUCACGAGCAUCCACAUCUCAGUUGGAAGCGAACCCUGAUCCACCUGAAACAGUCCCCGGUGCAGCGAUGGUGGCUGUCUCUGAGGAGCAGCAACCGUCUGCCUCAGAGUGGCAAAUGGCCUCUGAUCUACCGGGUCAAACCUCCAGGCGAGUGAUUUCUAGUAGUGACGGAGAACAAGGGCAAGGUAACCCUGCCCUGACAGUAGUCACUAACUCUGACGAAGGCUGGGAGUCAGCGCCACGCCGUACUCCUAGAGGUAAUGCGGGGCAAAUUAUAUUCUGUAAUUGUCGUGUUCCGCCUCAACCCUUUGUGUUGAACUUACUAUCGUCGGGCCGACGACACAAAAAGGGGGGGUGGAUUGUAGCAGGGUAGCUUGUGCUUUCCCUGUUUCCCUCUGGCAGCUGCCAGAUUGGAGGUGGGUACGUUAAUGAAGGGGGCGGCCCCUACAUUUAGUAUAUUUAUACGGCUAGAUAUCAGCUGACAGUGCGUCUUCCGUUCUCCCAUUGUCGCUGGAGGAGCUAGCUUCCGUGUUUGGGUGGCUUGCGGGCAGUUUGGUUUGGCCUUGCUGGAGCUAGGUUUACUGCUUGGGUUUCUUGCAUCGUUCUACUACAAGAGCGCAUCUUCGCUUGGCAGUGGACUGUUUGCACGUCCAGCCUUGAGCGUUUAUUCACUGGAAUCGUGCUAUUAAGCACUGUUCAGUAGCCCUUCCUGUCAUGUUCUUGGAUUAGCUGUGCUUCCAGGUAUGUAGCCUACUCUUAAUUUCAGUUUCUGCAUUUAGAGGUAUUUGGCUUGUAUUAAUUCUCCUCUGUGAUUUCAGACAGUGAAGUUUAGCUGAAGCCUGUGCGGUGCUCCAGAUUGUGGCUG